rnacentral:rRNA from 1 species
AAUGAACGCUGGCGGCGCGCCUAAUACAUGCAAGUCGAGCGAGAAGACGUAGCAAUACGUUUGUAAAGCGGCGAACGGGUGAGGAAUACAUGGGUAACCUACCCUAGAGUGGGGAAUAACUAGCCGAAAGGUUAGCUAAUACCGCGUACGCUCCUUGGACUUCGGUUCAGGGAGGAAAGCGAUGCCGAGGGUAUCGCGCUCUUGGAUGGGCUCAUGUCCUAUCAGCUUGUUGGGAGGUAACGGCUCACCAAGGCUUCGACGGGUAGCUGGUCUGAGAGGACGAUCAGCCACACUGGCACUGCGACACGGGCCAGACUCCUACGGGAGGCAGCAGUAAGGAAUAUUGCGCAAUGGGCGAAAGCCUGACGCAGCGACGCCGCGUGGGGGAUGAAGGUCUUCGGAUUGUAAACCCCUUUCGGGAGGGAAGAU